GGUGGUUCUCUGGUGAUGCACCCCGGAAUCGGGCUCCCUCCUGUCUGGUCCCAGGGUUCAUCACCCGAGAACUACC
rfam:Myotis davidii contig320782, whole genome shotgun sequence.